rnacentral:rRNA from 1 species
UCGCCUGUUUUACAAAAACAUAGCCCCUUGAACAUAUAAAGGGUCCCGCCUGCCCAGUGACCUCAAAGGUUAAACGGCCGCGGUAUCUUGACCGUGCAAAGGUAGCAUAAUCACUUGUCUUUUAAAUGGAGACCUGUAUGAACGGCAAAACCUUUUCAAACUGUCUCCCUCCCUAACCUUUUAAACUCCCUUUUACGCGAAGAAGCGUGAAUACAUCAGAAAGACGAGAAGACCCUGUCGAGCUUCAGCCAAUAAGUGAGCCGACAAAACCUAUGCGUUAGCAUCACCCAAAGGCUUUGGUUGGGGUAACCAUGGAGAACACUAAUCCUCCAGAACAAGCAGACGAACUCUCUUCCCUACUAAACGAGCUAAAGAACCAGGAACUGGUAAUCGGAAAAAGUUACCGCAGGGAUAACAGCGUCAUCCCCUUUAAGAGUCCUUAUUGACAAGGGGGUUUGCGACCUCGAUGUUGGAUUAGGGCCCCCUUAGGGUGCAGAAGCUCUAAACGGUUAGACUGUUCGUCUAUUAAAGCCCUACAUGAUCUGAGUUAAAACCCGGAGA